rnacentral:rRNA from 1 species
CUCCUACGGGAGGCAGCAGCAGGGAAUCUUGCGCAAUGGGCGAAAGCCUGACGCAGCGACACCGCGUGGGGGAUGAAGGCCUUCGGGUUGUAAACCCCUUUCAGGAGGGAAGAAAUUGACGGUACCUCCACAAGAAGGACCGGCCAACUACGUGCCAGCAGCCGCGGUAAUACGUAGGGUCCGAGCGUUAUCCGGAAUCAUUGGGCGUAAAGAGCUCGUAGGCGGUUCAGCAAGUCGGCUGUGAAAGUUCGAGGCUCAACCUCGAAAUUGCAGUCGAUACUGCUGUGACUCGAGUCCGGUAGAGGAGAACGGAAUUCCCGGUGUAGCGGUGAAAUGCGCAGAUAUCGGGAGGAACACCAGUAGCGAAGGCGGUUCUCUGGGCCGGAACUGACGCUGAGGAGCGAAAGCGUGGGGAGCAAACAGGAUUAGAUACCCUGGUAGUCCACGCCGUAAACGAUGAUAACUAGCUGUCCGGGCACUUGGUGCUUGGGUGGCGCAGCUAACGCAUUAAGUUAUCCGCCUGGGGAGUACGGUCGCAAGAUUAAAACUCAAAGGAAUUGACGG